AUUGUUGAUUCAUUUCUUUUAUCCUUUUCUCAGAGCUCUGAAAUGAAACCUAAAUAAUUUAGGGCUUAAUAGUUGAUCUCGUUUCAACCAAGUAUAUUCAAAGCUUUUCUACAAUAUUUGAUAAAUGAGAUCGCAGUCUGUUUUUGUUAUUCGAGAUCUCUAAAACUAAGACGAGUAUUUAUAUUUAGUUGUUAAUCUCGAUUCGGCUGGAUUGAAUCUUAGCUAGUUUUUCUUAUUCUAGAUCUUACUCUAUAUGGCAGAAUAGGAGGAAAAUGAAGCAUUUUAAUAAUAACCUUAAAUUGUCGUAUCAGGAUCUGAAUUUGGAAGAGAUAGAAGCCUUAUCAGUGGGAUUUCUUGAAAAAAAUCAAGCGAUUUACUCAACAGAAGAAACUAAUUAAUAAUGAUGGAUUUGAAACAACAAGAGAAGGUGAUAGGGAUGGAUAACAAGAAGAAUCAGUGCUUGCUGCACCUCCAUCAAUUUUAAUGGAAUUACAACAGACUACAACAAGAUAGAGUGUGAAAUUUCAACGCUUACUCAUUGGAGGAGGGCCAUCUAGUGCUGGACUUGCUGGUGAGGUUGAUGUUCAUUGGGGGAGGGCCAAGUGGUGUUAGACUUGCAGGGUUGUGAGCCCCAAUCUCCAAGCUUUGUUGGAUGCUGUCAUAAGUUAACUGCAGAAACAAGUGAUCAAGUGAGUGCAGGUGGGAAGACUGUUCUUACUUCCUGGACCACUGCUAAACAACUUUUAAAAGUCUGAUCCUAGAUAUUCUAAGAUGCUAGGAAUGAAAGAGGGACCUUGUGGCGCCCAAAUAUGUAGAGUCAGCAACAAGUAUCAUUGUUUGUGCGCUGGAUGGUGCUGAAGGGCCACCAUGGAUGGAAGCAUGGGUAUGAUCAUUAGCCUUACGGUAUGAAUUGUAAUUUAGGGACGUGCCGACAACCUCCUACCCAAGAAUUGAUUUUCUAGGAAUUUACAUGGAAAUGAGUGGAACGCUAAGUGGCAGUGUGGCUAUCAUGAAUAUUGGGAUUUUUUGUAUUUUUUGUAGAUGAGUAUAUAGUUGUACACUAGUGUGAAGAAAAAAA